rnacentral:rRNA from 1 species
UACAGAGGUCUCAAGCGUUGUUCGGAUUCAUUGGGCGUAAAGGGUGUGUAGGUGGCGCCGUAAGUCGGGUGUGAAAUUUCGGAGCUUAACUCCGAAACUGCAUUCGAUACUGCGGUGCUUGAGGACUGGAGAGGAGACUGGAAUUCAUGGUGUAGCAGUGAAAUGCGUAGAGAUCAUGAGGAAGACCAGUGGCGGAGGCGGGUCUCUGGACAGUUCCUGACACUGAGACACGAAGGCCAGGGGAGCAAACGGG